rnacentral:misc_RNA from 1 species
CACAACAUCCAGAACUGCAUCAAUCAGCUCUGCUCCCUCAGUGUAAUGCCCUUUGGCCCAGUUAUUUCCAGCACCAGACUGCCCAAACACAAAGUUAUCGGGCCUGAAGAUUUGACCAUAGGGACCAGUCCUCACACUGUCCAUGGUACCAGGCUCAAGAUCCAUAAGCACAGCACGAGGUACAAAUCGCCCGCAUGAGGCCUCAUUGUAGUACACAUUGACGCGCUCUAACUGCAGAUCAGAAGAUCCAGUGUAUCGUCCCGUAGGGUCAAUGCCAUGCUCGUCACAAACGACCUCCCAGAACUUGGAUCCGAUCUGGUUACCACAUUGUCCACCUUGAAUGUGAAGGAUUUCUCUCAUUUUUCUUUGUUUCUAGUCGACGUCUAGUAACCGGCGACAGUCGGUGGAAAUGAGUUGUUUCUGGUGAUAGGGCCCGAGUGAGGCUC